CUGUUUCUCCCUCAUCUGGUCUAAAAAGACGUGAGAGAACUAUUCCCUAUAGAUGACGGCGUACCUUCUGACGAGAGUGGUGACGCGAUAUUUAUGAUCAUGACUAUAGUUUAAAUGUAAGACCACUGUGGUUGACAUGACUGUAAUCAUAGAUCGUGUCAUGAUUUGACAAAUUGUAAAUAUGGUGAUGGUUUAGGAAGUCGUAAAUUGCUGAUAUGAUAUGAAAUGAAUUGGCCAUUCCACAUAGAUAGUCGGGAAUCCGUAUUGCUCUUAGUAGAUAGAAGUCGGAAUGACUUUGCGUGAAAAAUAAAAUGAAAAUAAGAUGAAAACAUGACAUGGUUGGUUCAAUUUCUCUAUUUAAUUUUCAACAUGAUUGAUUGACAUGAUAUGAUUGAUAAGAUUUGAU
rnacentral:lncRNA from 1 species